rnacentral:rRNA from 1 species
CCUACGGGUGGCAGCAGGGAGGAAGAGUGGGCAAUGGACGCAAGUCUGAACAAGCCAGGACGCGUGCAGGAAGACGGCUCUAUGAGUUGUAAACUGCUUUUGUACGAGGGUAAACGCAGAUACGCGUAUCUCUCUGAAAGUAUCGUACGAAUAAGGAUCGGCUAACUCCGUGCCAGCAGACGCGGUAAUACGGAGGAUUCAAGCGUUAUCCGGAUUUAUUGGGUUUAAAGGGUGCGUAGGCGGUCGGAUAAGUUAGAGGUGAAAUCCCGAGGCUCAACUUCGGAAUUGCCUCUGAUACUGUUCGGCUAGAGAGUAGUUGCGGUAGGCGGAAUGUAUGGGGUAGCGGUGAAAUGCUUAGAGAUCAUACAGAACACCGAUUGCGAAGGCAGCUUACCAAGCUACGUCUGACGUUGAGGCACGAAAGCGUGGGGAGCAAACAGGAUUAGAUACCCCUGUAGUC